UACGUAGGGUGCGAGCGUUGUCCGGAAUUAUUGGGCGUAAAGAGCUUGUAGGCGGUUUGUCGCGUCUGCCGUGAAAUUUCGGGCUCAACCCCGAACUUGCGGUGGGUACGGGCAGACUAGAGUGUGGUAGGGGAGACUGGAAUUCCUGGUGUAGCGGUGAAAUGCGCAGAUAUCAGGAGGAACACCGAUGGCGAAGGCAGGUCUCUGGGCCACUACUGACGCUGAGAAGCGAAAGCAUGGGGAGCGAACAGG
rnacentral:rRNA from 1 species